UACAGAGGGUGCGAGCGUUAAUCGGAAUUACUGGGCGUAAAGCGUGCGUAGGCGGCUUUGUAAGUCGGUUGUGAAAUCCCCGGGCUUAACCUGGGAACUGCAUCCGAGACUGCAUGGCUAGAGUAUGGGAGAGGGAAGUGGAAUUUCAGGUGUAGCGGUGAAAUGCGUAGAUAUCUGAAGGAACAUCAGUGGCGAAAGCGACUUCCUGGACCAAUACUGACGCUCAUGUGCGAAAGCGUGGGGAGCAAACAGG
rnacentral:rRNA from 1 species